rnacentral:lncRNA from 1 species
GCACUCCAGCCUGCAUAAUAGAGUGAAAAUGUGUGAGAGAAAAAAAAAAGGCAACCCACACUUUGGGAACACUGAGCUACUCUUUAUGAUAUCCAAUUACCCUGAAGCUGCAUGUUGGAAAGGCCAUGUGGAGAUAUCAUGUAGAGGGAGAGAGAGGCCCAAUGAACCUCAACUAUUUUAGCUCUCAUUUUUGCAUCUUCCUAGUGAACUGACAGACAAAGGCUGGGAGCUGGAACCUUCUGAAGGCUCAUUCACUUGCAUGUCUGUCAUGAAGCUUCAGGGCAGCUCCAGCUGAUGCCAGGUGAGCAAAGAUGAGCUAUUUUCUCUAUACCCUGCCAAAACUGCAGAUCGUGAGUGAAACAAAUGCUGUUUUAAGCCACUUCAUUUUUGGAGGGGUUUCUCAUGCAGUAAUAUGUAGUGAGAACGCCCCUAAUGACCUGAGCUCAGACCAGAAGUAUUAUUUAAUCCCUUUUCUGUAAAAAAGUAGAAAUUUAGGUUCUUGAUGUACUCUUUUAUGGCAGACAGAAAUGACAAGUCAGAGGGUUUUAAACUCUUUGUUUCCAGGCUACUGGGUGAAUAUAACACAGGAGAUAUUUCUUCAGGGCCUCUGGGAAGCUAGAGAAAGAAAGAAUAAUUGAAGUGGUCCAGAAGGAAGAGAAACAUGUGACAGGCUAUGCCUGGUACCUCCAGACCAGAGGAGAGAACUCGGGAAAGCAGCAGGCAGUCCAGAAUGGCGAUGGGAAGAUCCAGAGGCAGCAAAGGCUUCUCUCCGCCAUGUGAAAGGCCUGAGUUUAGAUACCUCAGGGAAGUUUUAAUGCCAACCUUCUGUAAAACCCCCAUUCUCUAACGUAUGGCUUUAAUUAACAAUCAUGUAUCACUAUUGGUUUGUUAAUCAUAGCAAAUGGACCAUACUCCUGUAAGAUGUUAUCAACAGGAAAAAUUGAGGGAGAGGUAUAUGAAGCUCUGCACUAUCCUUGCAAUUUUUCUGUAAAUCUAAAACUGUUGUAAAAAAAAAUAAAGUUGGGGGAGG